rnacentral:tRNA from 19 species
GCGGGUAUAGUUUAGUGGUAAAAGUGUUUCCAAGCUAACGAUGCGGGUUCGAUUCCCGCUACCCGCU